GCAAACUUGGUCAUUUAGAGGAAGUAAAAGUCGUAACAAGGUUUCCGUAGGUGAACCUGCGGAAGGAUCAUUAUUAGACUCAGCAGCGGGAGGAUGUGCUGGCUUCACAAAGUUUGGUCGGAGCAAUGUGUCACUCCUUUUGCUUGCAAUUUUCAUUUGACCCUGUGAACCAUUUGUAGGCAAGGAUGGGUUAUUCCAUCCUCACCUAUGCUUUUUUUUUUCAUUAACCUCCUAAUAUUUGAAAUGUUGAUUUGUAAUCAUUGCACAUCUUUCAACAAUGGAUCUCUUGGCUCUCGCAUCGAUGAAGAACGCAGC
rnacentral:misc_RNA from 1 species